AUUGAACGCUGGCGGCAGGCCUAACACAUGCAAGUCGAGCGGAGCGGCGGACGGGUGAGUAAUGCCUAGGAAUCUGCCUGGUAGUGGGGGAUAACGUCCGGAACCGGGCGCUAAUACCGCAUACCAUCAGAUGUGCCCAGAUGGGAUUAGCUAGUGGGUGGGGUAACGGCUCACCUAGGCGACGAUCCCUAGCUGGUCUGAGAGGAGGACCAGCCACACUGGAACUGAGACACGGUCCAGACUCCUACGGGAGGCAGCAGUGGGGAAGAUUGCAAAAUGGGCGCAAGCCUGAUGCAGCCAUGCCGCGUGUGCGAUGAAGGCCUUCGGGUUGUAAAGCACUUUUGGCAGGAAAGCGGUACCUGCAGAAUAAGCACCGGCUAACUACGUGCCAGCAGCCGCGGUAAUUC
rnacentral:rRNA from 1 species